rnacentral:rRNA from 1 species
UACGUAGGGUGCAAGCGUUAACCGGAAUUACUGGGCGUAAAGCGUGCGCAGGCGGCUUUGCAAGUCAGAUGUGAAAUCCCCGGGCUCAACCUGGGAACUGCAUUUGUGACUGCAUGGCUGGAGUGCGGCAGAGGGGGAUGGAAUUCCGCGUGUAGCAGUGAAAUGCGUAGAUAUGCGGAGGAACACCGAUGGCGAAGGCAAUCCCCUGGGCCUGCACUGACGCUCAUGCGCGAAAGCGUGGGGAGCAAACAGG